CCUACGGGAGGCAGCAGUGAGGAAUAUUGGUCAAUGGACGAGAGUCUGAACCAGCCAAGUAGCGUGAAGGAUGACUGCCCUAUGGGUUGUAAACUUCUUUUAUAUGGGAAUAAAAUGUUCCACGUGUGGGAUUUUGUAUGUACCAUAUGAAUAAGGAUCGGCUAACUCCGUGCCAGCAGCCGCGGUAAUACGGAGGAUCCGAGCGUUAUCCGGAUUUAUUGGGUUUAAAGGGAGCGUAGGUGGAUUGUUAAGUCAGUUGUGAAAGUUUGCGGCUCAACCGUAAAAUUGCAGUUGAAACUGGCAGUCUUGAGUACAGGAGAGGUGGGCGGAAUUCGGGGUGUAGCGGUGAAAUGCUUAGAUAUCACGAAGAACUCCGAUUGCGAAGGCAGUUCACUGGACUGCAACUGACACUGAGGCUCGAAAGUGUGGGUAUCAAACAGGAUUAGAUACCCGAGUAGUC
rnacentral:rRNA from 1 species